UCCCCGUUUACCGGGGCAGUCCCCUCAGAGUGCCCGGCAUAACCCGGUGGCAACAGAGGGCGAGGGUUGCGCUCGUUGCGGGACUUAACCCAACAUCUCACGACACGAGCUGACGACAGCCAUGCACCACCUGUGCAGGCUCCGUAGAGCGCCGGCUUUCACCGGCUUUACCCUGCAUGUCAAGCCCAGGUAAGGUUCUUCGCGUUGCAUCGAAUUGAGCCACAUGCUCCGCCGCUUGUGCGGGUCCCCGUCAAUUCCUUUGAGUUUUAACCUUGCGGCCGUACUCCCCAGGCGGUCGACUUCACGCGUUAGCUUCGGUACCAAGGAAUCGCUUCCCCAACACCUAGUCGACAUCGUUUAGGGCGUGGACUAC
rnacentral:misc_RNA from 1 species